CUACCGGGCGACCGGAUGCGGAUCUCGAAAGCCUGUCUCAGUUCGGAUUGGAGUCUGCAACCCGACUCCAUGAAGCUGGAUUCGCUAGUAAUCGCGCAUCAGCCACGGCGCGGUGAAUACGUUCCCGGGCCUUGUACACACCGCCCGUCAAGCCAUGGAAGCCGGGGGUGCCUGAAGUGCGCUGCCGCAAGGAGCGCCCUAGGGUAAAACCGGUGACUGGGGCUAAGUCGUAACAAGGUAGC
rnacentral:rRNA from 1 species